rnacentral:rRNA from 1 species
UACGAAGGGGGCUAGCGUUGCUCGGAAUUACUGGGCGUAAAGGGCGCGUAGACGGCGCUGCAAGUCAGGCGUGAAAUUCCUGGGCUUAACCUGGGGGCUGCGCUUGAGACUGUGGUGCUAGAGGAUGGAAGAGGCUCGUGGAAUUCCCAGUGUAGAGGUGAAAUUCGUAGAUAUUGGGAAGAACACCGGUGGCGAAGGCGGCGAGCUGGUCCAUUACUGACGCUGAGGCGCGACAGCGUGGGGAGCAAACAGG